UAAACGACUCUCGGCAACGGAUAUCUCGGCUCUCGCAUCGAUGAAGAACGUAGCGAAAUGCGAUACUUGGUGUGAAUUGCAGAAUCCCGUGAACCAUCGAGUCUUUGAACGCAAGUUGCACCCGAAGCCAUUAGGCGAGGGCAUGUCUGCCUGGGCGUCACAC
rnacentral:rRNA from 1 species